CCAGUUUUACAUACCCCAUAGA
rnacentral:miRNA from 11 species